rnacentral:rRNA from 1 species
CAUAUCAAUAAGCGGAGGAAAAGAAACUAACAAGGAUUCCCCUAGUAACUGCGAGUGAAGCGGGAAAAGCUCAAAUUUAAAAUCUGGCGGCUUUGGUCGUCCGAGUUGUAUUCUAGAGAAGCGUUUUCCGCGUUGGACCGUGUACAAGUCUCUUGGAACAGAGCGUCAUAGAGGGUGAGAAUCCCGUCUUUGACACGGACUACCAGUGCUUUGUGAUGCGCUCUCAAAGAGUCGAGUUGUUUGGGAAUGCAGCUCAAAAUGGGUGGUAAAUUCCAUCUAAAGCUAAAUAUUGGCGAGAGACCGAUAGCGAACAAGUACCGUGAGGGAAAGAUGAAAAGCACUUUGGAAAGAGAGUUAAACAGUACGUGAAAUUGCUGAAAGGGAAACGCUUGAAGUCAGUCGCGUUGGUUAGAACUCAACCAGGCUUGCUUGGUGCAUUUUCUUAUCAACGGGCCAGCAUCAGUUUUGACUGUAGGAAAAAGAUCAGAGAAAUGUGGCACCUUCGGGUGUGUUAUAGUCUUUGGUUGCAUACUAUGGUUGGGACUGAGGAUCUCAGCACGCAUCUGUUGUGCUUAGGAUGCUGGCGUAAUGGCUUUAAACGACCCGUCUUGAAACACGGACCAAGGAGUCUAACAAACCUGCGAGUGUUUGGGUGGUAAACCCGAGCGCGUAAUGAAAGUGAAAGUUGGGAUCUCUGUCGUGGAGAGCACCGACGCCCGGACCAGACCUUCUGUGACGGAUCUGCGGUAGAGCAUGUUUGUUGGGACCCGAAAGAUGGUGAACUAUGCCUGAAUAGGGUGAAGCCAGAGGAAACUCUGGUGGAGGCUCGUAGCGAUUCUGACGUGCAAAUCGAUCGUCAAAUUUGGGUAUAGGGGCGAAAGACUAAUCGAACCAUCUAGUAGCUGGUUCUGC